rnacentral:rRNA from 1 species
AGAGUUUGAUUCUGGCCCAGAACGAACGCUGGCGGCGUGGAUAAGACAUGCAAGUCGAACGAGAGAAUUGCUAGCUUGCUAAUAAUUCUCUAGUGGCGCACGGGUGAGUAACACGUGAGUAACCUGCCCCCGAGAGCGGGAUAGCCCUGGGAAACUGGGAUUAAUACCGCAUAGAAUCGCAAGAUUAAAGCAGCAAUGCGCUUGGGGAUGGGCUCGCGGCCUAUUAGUUAGUUGGUGAGGUAACGGCUCACCAAGGCGAUGACGGGUAGCCGGUCUGAGAGGAUGUCCGGCCACACUGGAACUGAGACACGGUCCAGACACCUACGGGUGGCAGCAGUCGAGAAUCAUUCACAAUGGGGGAAACCCUGAUGGUGCGACGCCGCGUGGGGGAAUGAAGGUCUUCGGAUUGUAAACCCCUGUCAUGUGGGAGCAAAUUAAAAAGAUAGUACCACAAGAGGAAGAGACGGCUAACUCUGUGCCAGCAGCCGCGGUAAUACAGAGGUCUCAAGCGUUGUUCGGAAUCACUGGGCGUAAAGCGUGCGUAGGCUGUUUCGUAAGUCGUGUGUGAAAGGCGCGGGCUCAACCCGCGGACGGCACAUGAUACUGCGAGACUAGAGUAAUGGAGGGGGAACCGGAAUUCUCGGUGUAGCAGUGAAAUGCGUAGAUAUCGAGAGGAACACUCGUGGCGAAGGCGGGUUCCUGGACAUUAACUGACGCUGAGGCACGAAGGCCAGGGGAGCGAAAGGGAUUAGAUACCCCUGUAGUCCUGGCAGUAAACGGUGCACGCUUGGUGUGCGGGGAAUCGACCCCCUGCGUGCCGGAGCUAACGCGUUAAGCGUGCCGCCUGGGGAGUACGGUCGCAAGAUUAAAACUCAAAGAAAUUGACGGGGACCCGCACAAGCGGUGGAGUAUGUGGCUUAAUUCGAUGCAACGCGAAGAACCUUACCUGGGCUUGACAUGUAAUGAACAACAUGUGAAAGCAUGCGACUCUUCGGAGGCGUUACACAGGUGCUGCAUGGCCGUCGUCAGCUCGUGUCGUGAGAUGUUUGGUUAAGU